rnacentral:rRNA from 1 species
UACGAAGGGUGCAAACGUUGCUCGGAAUUAUUGGGCGUAAAGCGCACGUAGGCGGCUUGGCAAGUUGGAUGUGAAAUCCCUCGGCUUAACCAAGGAAGUGCAUCCAAAACUGCUGAGCUUGAGUACCUAAGAGGAUCGCGGAAUUCCCGGUGUAGAGGUGAAAUUCGUAGAUAUCGGGAGGAACACCAGUGGCGAAGGCGGCGAUCUGGGAAGAUACUGACGCUGAGGUGCGAAAGCGUGGGGAGCAAACAGG